rnacentral:rRNA from 1 species
GACCUCAAAUCAGGUAAGAAUACCCGCUGAACUUAAGCAUAUCAAUAAGCGGAGGAAAAGAAGAUAACAAUGAUUCCUCUAGUAACUGCGAGUGAAGAGGGAAAAGCUCAAAUUUUAGAUCUGUUAGGUUUACCUAACCGAGUUGUAAUUUGAAGAAGCGUUUUCUGCGAAUUUGGUUAGUCCUAAUCCUUUGGAAUAAGGUAUCAUGGAGGGUGGGAAUCCCGUUCGGUUAACCAAAGCGCUUUAGGAUACGCUUUCAAAGAGUCAAGUUGUUUGGGAUUGCAGCUUAAAAUGGGAGGUAAAUUUCUCCUAAGGCUAAAUAUUGGCGAGAGACCGAUAGCGAACAAGUACCGUGAGGGAACUAUGAAAAGAACUUUGAAAGGAGAGUUAAACAGUACGUGAAAUUGUUGAAAGGGAAACGAUUGAAG